GACGAACGCUGGCGGCGUGCCUAAUACAUGCAAGUAGAACGCACAGUUUAUACCGUAGCUUGCUACACCAUAAACUGUGAGUUGCGAACGGGUGAGUAACGCGUAGGUAACCUGCCUGGUAGCGGGGGAUAACUAUUGGAAACGAUAGCUAAUACCGCAUAAUAUUGAUUAUUGCAUGAUAAUUGAUUGAAAGAUGCUAUUGCAUCACUACCAGAUGGACCUGCGUUGUAUUAGCUAGUAGGUGAGGUAACGGCUCACCUAGGCGACGAUACAUAGCCGACCUGAGAGGGGGAUCGGCCACACUGGGACUGAGACACGGCCCAGACUCCUACGGGAGGCAGCAGUAGGGAAUCGUCGGCAAUGGACGAAAGUCUGACCGAGCAACGCCGCGUGAGUGAAGAAGGGUUUCGGAUCGUAAAGCUCUGUUGUAAGAGAAGAACGGGUGUGAGAGUGGAAAGUUCACACUGUGACGGUAUCUUACCAGAAAGGGACGGCUAACUACGUG
rnacentral:rRNA from 1 species